CGCUGUAAACGAUGAAUACUAGGUGUGGGAGGACUGACCCCUUCCGUGCCGCAGUUAACACAAUAAGUAUUCCACCUGGGGAGUACGACCGCAAGGUUGAAACUCAAAGGAAUUGACGGGGGCCCGCACAAGCAGUGGAUUAUGUGGUUUAAUUCGACGCAACGCGAAGAACCUUACCAGGAUUUGACAUCCAACUAACGAAGUAGAGAUACAUUAGGUGCCCUUCGGGGAAAGUUGAGACAGGUGGUGCAUGGUUGUCGUCAGCUCGUGUCGUGAGAUGUUGGGUUAAGUCCCGCAACGAGCGCAACCCCUAUUGUUAGUUGCUACGAAAGAGCACUCUAGCGAGACUGCCGUUGACAAAACGGAGGAAGGCGGGGACGACGUCAAAUCAUCAUGCCCCUUAUGUCCUGGGCUACACACGUAAUACAAUGGCCGUCAACAGAGGGAAGCAAAGCCGCGAGGCGGAGCAAAUCCCUAAAAACGGUCUCAGUUCGGAUUGCAGGCUGCAACUCGCCUGCAUGAAGCUGGAAUUGCUAGUAAUCGCGGAUCAG
rnacentral:rRNA from 1 species